rnacentral:rRNA from 1 species
CAGCAGCCACGGUAAUACGAAGGGGGCUAGCGUUGUUCGGAAUUACUGGGCGUAAAGCGCACGUAGGCGGAUAUUUAAGUCAGGGGUGAAAUCCCAGAGCUCAACUCUGGAACUGCCUUUGAUACUGGGUAUCUUGAGUAUGGAAGAGGUGAGUGGAAUUCCGAGUGUAGAGGUGAAAUUCGUAGAUAUUCGGAGGAACACCAGUGGCGAAGGCGGCCCACUGGUCCAUUACUGACGCUGAGGUGCGAAAGCGUGGGGAGCAAACAGGAUUAGAUACCCCUGUAGUCCCUGUCUCUUAUAC